rnacentral:rRNA from 1 species
AGAGUUUGAUCAUGGCUCAGGACGAACGCUGGCGGCGUGCCUAAUACAUGCAAGUCGAGCGGGGGUGGUGAGGUAGCUUGCUAUUGAGCCACCCUAGCGGCGGACGGGUGAGUAACGCGUGGGCAACCUACCCUGUAGGCUGGGAUAACAGGUCGAAAGGCCUGCUAAUACCGGAUGAGCUCGCGGGGUCGCAUGGCCUUGUGAGGAAAGGGGAGACCCGCUACAGGAUGGGCCCGCGUCCCAUUAGCUAGUUGGUGAGGUAACGGCUCACCAAGGCGACGAUGGGUAGCCGGCCUGAGAGGGCGACCGGCCACACUGGAACUGAGACACGGUCCAGACUCCUACGGGGGGCAGCAGUAGGGAAUCUUCGGCAAUGGGCGAAAGCCUGACUGAGCGACGCCGCGUGAGGGAAGAAGGUCUUCGGAUUGUAAACCUCUGUCUAGGGGGACGAGGAAGGACGGUACCCCUGGAGGAAGCCCCGGCUAACUACGUGCCAGCAGCCGCGGUAAUACGUAGGGGGCGAGCGUUGUCCGGAAUUACUGGGCGUAAAGGGCGCGCAGGCGGCCAUGUAAGUCAGGUGUGAAAGGCCGAGGCUCAACUUCGGUUAGACGUCUGAUACUGCGUGGCUUGAGGGCAAGAGAGGGAAGUGGAAUUCCCGGUGUAGCGGUGAAAUGCGUAGAUAUCGGGAGGAACACCAGUGGCGAAGGCGGCUUCCUGGAUUGUACCUGACGCUCAUGCGCGAAAGCUGGGGGAGCGAACGGGGAUUAGAUACCCCGGUAGUCCCAGCCGUAAACGAUGGAUGCUAGGUGUAGGAGGUAUCGACCCCUCCUGUGCCGCAGCUAACGCAUUAAGCAUCCCGCCUGGGGAGUACGGCCGCAAGGUUGAAACUCAAGGAAUUGACGG